UGGCUCAGUUGGUAGAGCAUGGUGUUUGUAACGCCAGCAUGGUGUGUGCAACGCCAGGGUUGUGGGUUCGAUUCCCAC
rfam:Salmo salar isolate Sally breed double haploid chromosome ssa09, whole genome shotgun sequence.